ensembl:snoRNA
GACCCUUGAGACCAUGGGUAAAGAAACACUUUGUUAGUGGUGUUACUCUUAUAUCAGUCAAGGGCAGAGCAGAUGGCAGUCUUUUGUUUACCCUAGCUUGAUGCCUGGCUUGGUAUUCCAAGCUGUUUUAUGCCUAUGACUCAUAA